GCGUCAUUAGUGUAGUGGUUAUCAUCUGCGUUUCCCAUCCAUCUCGAUGUGAGAAUACGCAGGACUCGAGUUCGAUUCUCGAAUGACGCA